rnacentral:rRNA from 1 species
GACGAACGCUGGCGGCGUGCCUAAUACAUGCAAGUCGAACGGAAAGGCCCUGCUCUUGCGGGGUGCUCGAUUGGCGAAGGGGGGAGUAACACGCGAGUAACCCGCCCCUGACUUUGGGAUAAAUUCAGGAAAAUGGGGCUAAUACCGGAUAGAAGAUACUGCAGCAUGGGGGGGGUUGGUAAGAUUCGGUGGUUGGGGAUGGACUGGGGGCUUAUCCGCUUGGUGGUGGGGUCGGGGCUUACACAGGCUUCGACGGGUAGCCGACCUGAGCGGGGGAUCGGCCGCACGGGAGCUGAGACACGGUCCAGAGUCCUACGGGAGGCAGCAGUAGGGAAUCUUCCGCAGUGGGCGGAAGCUGGACGGAGCAGCGCCGCGUGAGUGAUGAAGGUCUUCGGAUCGGAAAGCUCUGUUAUUAGGGAAGAACAAAUGUGUAAGUAACUAUGCACGUCUUGACGGUACCGAAUCAGAAAGCCACGGCUAACUACGUG